GACGAACGCUGGCGGCGUGCUUAACACAUGCAAGUCGAACGGAAAGGCCCUGCUUUUGUGGGGUGCUCGAGUGGCGAACGGGUGAGUAACACGUGAGUAACCUGCCCUUGACUUUGGGAUAACUUCAGGAAACUUGGGCUAAUACCGGAUAGUAGCUCCUGCUGCAUGGUGGGGGUUGGAAAGUUUCGGCGGUUGGGGAUGGACUCGCGGCUUAUCAGCUUGGUGGUGGGGUAGUGGCUUACCAAGGCUUUGACGGGUAGCCGGCCUGAGAGGGUGACCGGCCACAUUGGGACUGAGAUACGGACCAGACUCCUACGGGAGGCAGCAGUGGGGAAUAUUGCACAAUGGGCGGAAGCCUGAUGCAGCAACGCCGCGUGCGGGAUGACGGCCUUCGGGUUGUAAACAGCUUUCGCCUGUGACGAAGCGUGAGUGACGGUAAUGGGUAAAGAAGCACCGGCUAACUACGUG
rnacentral:rRNA from 1 species